rnacentral:rRNA from 1 species
GUACCAACAAAGAAUUUCAGUUCAACUUUAAGAAUUACCAUAAGAAACAGAAAUCAAAAUGUAAUCUUAAAACUUAGCCUAAAGAGGGACAGCUCUUCAGGAAUGGAAACAACCUUCAAUAGUGAAUAAACCCUAAUACCCCAAGACCAUAGUUGGCCUAAAGGCAGCCAUCAAUAAAGAAAGCGUUAAAGCUCAACACUAAAUAAACCCAAAUUCCAUAAACCAGAAUGAAUUCCUAUUAUCACAAUUGGGUUAAUCUAUUACUAUAUAGAUGAAAUACUGUUAACAUGAGUAACAAGAACAUCGUUCUCCAAGCACAAGCCUAUAGCAACCCGGAUAACCAUUGCUAGUUAACAGCUUCAGGUGAACAUAUACUAAUUAAGCCCACCAACAAUCAAACUGUUAACCCGACACAGGUGUGCUACAAGGAAAGAUUAAAAGGAGUAAAAGGAACUCGGCAAACAAGAAUCCCGCCUGUUUACCAAAAACAUCACCUCUAGCAUAACUAGUAUUAGAGGCACUGCCUGCCCAGUGACUAACGUUAAACGGCCGCGGUAUCCUGACCGUGCAAAGGUAGCAUAAUCACUUGUUCCUUAAUUGGGGACUGGAAUGAAUGGCCACACGAGGAUUCAACUGUCUCUUACUCCCAAUCAGUGAAAUUGACCUUCCCGUGAAGAGGCGGGGAUAAAAAAAUAAGACGAGAAGACCCUAUGGAGCUUUAAUUUACUGGCUUACGCCUUCUAACUAACCAACCUAAUGGGCCAAAUCAUAAAGCUCUAAGUCAGUAAUUUCGGUUGGGGUGACCUCGGAGCAUAAAACAACCUCCGAAAGAUUUUAUAACUAAGACAAACAAGUCAAAGUAACUAUAAUCUAAUUGACCCAAUCUUCCUUUGAUCAACGGACCAAGUUACCCUAGGGAUAACAGCGCAAUCCUAUUCAAGAGUUCAUAUCGACAAUUAGGGUUUACGACCUCGAUGUUGGAUCAGGACAUCCCAAUGGUGCAGCAGCUAUUAAUGGUUCGUUUGUUCAACGAUUAAAGUCCUACGUGAUCUGAGUCAGACGA